CGUAGCUAGUUAACAUAUGUCUGCCAUUUUUGGAGAACACAUUAUUGGGUGUUCAGCCAAAACAGUCUACAUACCUGCCAAGUCUCCCAGAUUAUCCGGAAGACUCCCGAAUUCUGAUCAUUUCUUCUGGUUGUAUGGUUGACAGAAAAAUCUUCUGGAAAUUGUAGUUGUGCCCGGUUUUUAUCCACGCUCUACGCUUUGUCUGACCACAUCGGCAACAAAUCUAAUCAAAUCGAGUUAGAAGUCCAUCGUGCAUAGCGUUGUUAUAGAAAGUAGUAGGGAAACCCUACAUGCAUUAUUUCUUUAACCUUUAUAAGACCGCAGCUCCACUCUUUACACCGAUGGGGUUGUUGGGUGCUAUAUUGGCCCUAGUCUUAUUCACGUAGCGAGCGAAUGCCGUGUUCCACAACUCGCAACACUAGAUCAGGCCCCGCACACUCUCAAGUUCAACAAAUAGCCACAAAGGGCGAGAAAAUCGACCAUGGUGCUGUUAAGAAAACAUAGUACCUCCACUCUAAAAUAUUCCCCCGUGAGCAAACUAUCUCCCUCACUUAUCAUGGCAUUUAUUUUCCUUGCAUGACAAAGAGUGCAAAAUUAUUAUUCUUAAUUAUGUAUAGUACUCUUGAGUACCAAGUCUGUUGUUUAGCUAUCAUAAACGCACAAUAAUGUUCAGCAUCAUCAACCUCCCACGUGACCUAUGCCCUCGCGGUUCAAAAUUUUACCGGUUUGCUGUGCAGCUUCCUGGUUCAAGGUUUCUUGGUUCAUGAGCUAAAGCCAGUCUUUUGCACUCUGAUUUCUCACAUUAUUCUGCUUGUUUGAAGUGACGCGUUCGGGAGCGGAGAAGUAGAGAUUUUCAGCCGGUGUGGGAUGCGGUCUUUAUCGUACAUGGAUCCGGAUUGCAACUGCUUCAACUCUGCUGAAGGGCAUGUCGUGAUCAGCGAGUGCCUUUGCAUCCUGGCAAUUUGCAACCUGGCAACUAACGUCACGUGUAUGCAAAGCUUCAAUUUUGUCAACAGCAGCAAGAAAGAAUUCUCCAGUAAAGUGCUGCAGCAAGUGCAUGAACCCAAGCAAGGCACAAGCUUAAGGAGGGCAUGAUCAAUGUAAAGCUACAGACUGCAAGCAUGAAAAAGAAGCUUGGCUGUCACCACAGGGUUACCAUCUGUUCUCCAGCUGCGACCCCAUGGCUACAAUGUUUGCUUUUAAUUUAAAGAUGUUUGACGUGCACCUCGAGAGUGCAUUAUCUCUCAUGCCUGUCAGGUGUUGAUAGUUAGAGCUAUAAGUACUUGUUUCCAUGCAGUGUUCGGAAUAUUCAGUUUUAAAUAGCUGGGAAGGUUUCCCUAAUUUUUUCUGAAAUUCACAUUUAACUGAGAAAGAUCUGCUUUAGUGUGCAACAGUAAAACAAGGUCGCGAGUUGUGCAAGGUUAUCUCAUGGGAACAAUGUGCAUUUAAAGGGGUCCUGAACCACUUUUUAUUGAAGUGGAGGAAUGAAUGCAUUUGAAGUUAAAAUAUGCUCUUUCAGAAGUACUUUGGCGCAAAACGUACUUCAAUGAGUUCAGCAGAAGUGGAGUUAUUGGCAAUCAGACACCCCCUUCGCAGUGCCUCCACUCCUUCAAUGCUUUGCACUGCGAAGGCUACGGCGGAGCGGGGCGUGCUCACAACGCUCUGCCUACUGAUUGUCACCGUGGCGCACAGUUCAAAUUUGAUUUUGGGUGUUCUCAUAGAAGCUCAAAUGCUCUUUCAAAUGCUCUCUUUUCAACAGAAGCCUGCUCCUCACUUUUUUCUGGACACUUCAUUUCGCAAUAUCCGAUUUUGGCGUCUGUGACACGAUUAAUGUAAGCCAAACGUGGUUGUCCUCAGUGAGCCACAGUGCGCUCAGCCAGCAGACUCAUCGCGACAGUCGCGGCAUCUACGUUAUGUAGCAGACCUCAGCUACAUACAACUGUAGUGCGUCUGCACAGCAUUUGCUUUGUACACUACAGGGCUUGAGUGCGUGCUCGCACUCACAUGCUCCAGUCUGGCUGUGCUAUGUGGUGUGGACCAUCUUUGUCCUGCGCCAGUUUAACCGACUGAUAGUAGCCACAUCCAACUUGUGCAUUUUGUAGCGCUAUCAAUAGCUCAAUGUGAAGCGAAGUCUGCUGCCAAGGCUGCUAACGAGGAGUGUGAGCACGCUGGCAAGCGUGUGUGUGGUCUGACCUUAAGUGUGUGUGGUUCGAGGCUAGUUGAGUUCAAAGUUAGUCGAAAUUAGCAAGACCCAACGGCUACAACACCGAUGAGCAGGGUGGUCAAAGUUCAAUUCCUACGUGGGCGGCCGAGCGUGAGCAGACAAGUCUGCUUCUUCCGGAAGUCCGUAAUUAUAUGAUCGAAAUUCGAAAACAGAUUCUCGCUUACUUCAGCCUGUUUAUUAAACUUCGUCAAUAAAUAUACACAGUAACAAUAGGAAGAAGCGCACUGAUCUAAACGGCCUCUUGAUUGAUGUCAGCUAUUUGCCAAUAGCAGCCGCGUAUGGAAAUCUGCUAUAUUGCGAAAUAGUGUCCAGAAAAAAGUGAGGAGCAGGCUUCUGUUGAAAAGAGAGCAUUUGAGAGAAUGGUGACUCAGCGCUCUGCUUGCGUGCUCCACGUGCUGCGCACGACUGCAAAACUUGGCUGAGCUGUUCACAGCAGCGUGUGCUAUCUGCCGACUAUAUUUCUUCACCAAGCCCGAGGGGUGGUUCAUGACCCUUUUAAUAUGGCACAGAGUUGGCAAAUGAAGCAUGAAAAUCGCACCUGUGUAUUCUGUUGUCACAAAGUGUUCAUGCUGGGGACAAAAUGGAGUGAAAUUAUGGCUUAACAUUCAAGGUUAGUGUUAGACCAAUCAUUUUACGAAAAGGUACCAGAUAUUUACGUGCCCAGUAUAGCUUAUCAUGCAUUGGUACCCAUGACUGUGAUUAACACGUUGCUGCUCGAGAGUGCUUGUCUCUGAAUGUCUAGUUACAUAGACUUAGUUUGUGGCUUGUGUUUAGUAUGCUCUCAUAUUGCAUGUGAUAGCAAUGCCCUACCAUGUUUCUUGUGCAACUUGAGUUAUAAAAGAGAUCACUGGUCGAAGACUGACACUGCAACAAAUAAAUUGUUA
rnacentral:lncRNA from 1 species